UUCUUGUUGCACUUAAAUUCUAACAAUUUAAUGAACUGCACAUGGAUACCGCUUGAGCGCUCAAACGUCUUCCUGGCUCCAUGAUCCGGAUGCUCUGAU